rnacentral:rRNA from 1 species
CAGUCGCCGCGGUAAUACGUAGGGCGCAAGCGUUGUUCGGAAUUAUUGGGCGUAAAGAGCUCGUAGGCGGUCUGUCGCGUCUGGUGUGAAAUCCCGAGGCUCAACCUCGGGCUUGCAUCGGGUACGGGCAGACUAGAGUGCGGUAGGGGAGACUGGAAUUCCUGGUGUAGCGGUGGAAUGCGCAGAUAUCAGGAGGAACACCGAUGGCGAAGGCAGGUCUCUGGGCCGCAACUGACGCUGAGGAGCGAAAGCAUGGGGAGCGAACAGGAUUAGAUACCCCAGUAGUCCCUGUCUCUUAUAC